rnacentral:misc_RNA from 1 species
AAUCUCAACCUUCUCGGUUUCUUCUGGAUACCGAAGGAGGCUUGGACUUUGGAGGCCUUUGCUGGCUCUUUCGAGAGCCGGCUCCUCUCAAAUGUAUUAGCGGGGUCCUCUUUGCCGAUCCUUGACGUGUGAUAAGAUGUUUCCAUGUCUCGGUUCCUGGCUCUGUUGCUUUUGGGAUCCGCUUCUAAUCGUCUUCGAGACAACGUUUGAGCGGGUCUCCCUUCUGGGGAAACCCUCUCGACCUCACGAAC